rnacentral:lncRNA from 1 species
AUACAUUGGAGGUGUGUCGUGCCCUCUCAUAUGCAGCAAGAAAUGGCUCAACCAUGGUGUGUUGCUCGUGGGAUAUAGAGCUAAAGGGUUCUCAAUUCUGAGGCUUGGCAACAAACCAUACUGGAUCAUCAAGAAUUCCUGGGGGAAAAGAUGGGGAGUAGAUGGGUAUUACAAGCUCUGCCGAGGGCAUGCCAUCUGUGGAAUGAACACGAUGGUCUCUGCUGCAAUGGUUGCCCAAACACAAACAACUACACAGAGUUAUGCUUCCUAUUAGCUGCCUACUUCCGCUCCGUACUUAUGCAAUGAAGUAUUUAUUUUUACUACUAUAAAGUUUUUAAAAAAUCUUUCUAUGUACUGCAGUUUAAAGACAUGUGAUGUAUGAUAAUGUGUGUUCUAUCUAUAAUAAGAUCUUUGUAAGAUGAAAAUAGAGCAUAUUAUGUCAAGUUCUGUCUGCUAUGUUACCUGAAUUUUGGUUGCUGAUGGAGUUGACGAGAGAAUUGUGAAAGUGUGUGGAAAAUUAGAUAAAAAAUUUCUUCCGUUGCCGGGACUUGAACCCGGGUCUCU